GGGGCGGUAGCUCAAUGGGAGAGCACCAGACUGAAGAUCUGGGUGUUGUGAGAAUUCGAUACCUUAACGGAGAAAUCCGUUAUCGAGAAACUCUCACCCGUCCCA
rnacentral:tRNA from 1 species